AGUGAACGCUGGCGGUAGGCCUAACACAUGCAAGUCGAACGGCAGCACAGUAAGAGCUUGCUCUUACGGGUGGCGAGUGGCGGACGGGUGAGGAAUACAUCGGAAUCUACUUUUUCGUGGGGGAUAACGUAGGGAAACUUACGCUAAUACCGCAUACGACCUACGGGUGAAAGCAGGGGAUCUUCGGACCUUGCGCGAUUGAAUGAGCCGAUGUCGGAUUAGCUAGUUGGCGGGGUAAAGGCCCACCAAGGCGACGAUCCGUAGCUGGUCUGAGAGGAUGAUCAGCCACACUGGAACUGAGACACGGUCCAGACUCCUACGGGAGGCAGCAGUGGGGAAUAUUGGACAAAGGGCGCAAGCCUGAUCCAGCCAUACCGCGUGGGUGAAGAAGGCCUCCGGGUUGUAAAGCCCUUCUGUUGGGAAAGAAAAGCAGCAGGUUAAUACCCCGCUGUUCUGACGGUACCCAAAGAAUAAGCACCGGCUAACUUCGUG
rnacentral:rRNA from 1 species